ensembl:lncRNA
ACAAGGAACUAUCAUAAAGUAUGUCUCAGGAGUUUCUGUAAUUCCCAGAGUUUGAGCCUGCAUAAAUAGGAAAUAAAAGAUGAUGAAGUCUUAGCUGCCUGUGAAAACCCACCCUUAUAGUAGGACCAAGCAAGGAUGGGUAUACUUUCCUGAUAAUAAGAACUGAUAAAUCAAUUAAGUGCAUUAGCGGGGUAUAUAAAACUUUUGAAUAAUGUUAUUCAUGAGGUAACUGCCUAGCCUCUGUGUGCAGGGCAUGCUUGUGACAAGAAGGAAUGAUCAAAGACAGCUCAGGAAAUGCGAGAGGGGAAAAAGCUGAAAAUUAAUUCCAGCAUGCCUAAUGAACCAUAAAAGCUUAGAAGAAAUCCCCCCCAUCUCACUUCCAAAGAACAAAGAGAAAACAAUUUCUCUUUCCAGCUGUUCUGCAAACAAAAUAUAAAUUAAUAAAGGCAAAAUGCCUACAGCUGUGGAUGAGGAGAGAGUACUGACUCCUGAUUUGAAUCCCUGUAGCCUGUAUGCUUGGCUUUCCCCUGAUGUGGGACAGGACAUAGUAAAAUGGGACAUCUGAUUCUUCAGGCAUGUUCCAGUCUCGCUGGAUGCUGUUAUCCUUGCCCUUUUGCCAACAGAGGUCCCUGAG